CGCCAGGGAAAGACAGAGUUCCAGUGUUCCGGAAGGGCUCUCUGAGACCUCAGAACCAUAAUCCUGUCCGGAGCGACCCUAAAAUUCUGUUUGAUGUUUCGCCGCGGAUUGAGCCGUGUAAUCCUUGUACAGAUGAGCGAACAGCCUUGAACACCAGAAAGGCUGGUUCAGAACCAUGCGGGUGGCAAGGCCGGAUGGCCGGAGUCAGGGAUUUGGAGAGGAGUUAAUGCUAGCUCUUGGUAUCACAGGGCAUGUGUGUCGUCUGUCAGCCCAACCCUAAGACAUUUUACACAGGUUAAAGACCCAUUUUGGAAGUGAAGGCGGGGACUUCUGCCCUGUAAAGACCUGCACAGGAGGAGACAUGAGUCUGAGGCAUGCACUGUGCCAGGUGCUGAACACACUUUUGCAAUUCACCCUCACGGUGAAGCACAGAUUGUUAUAGCCCCAUGUACAGCUGAUGAAAUGAGAGUUCCAGGAGCUUCCUCCCAGAGGGCGAGGGGAUGGAAGCUGAGCCCCAGGAGCCGGUGCUGAGGCCAGACUCAGGCUGAGUGACAGCUCGAGACCAGGACUUUGACAGCUAUGCCGAGGCUGGCUGGAAGCAAGUGGUGCUAAACUCGCGUGCCUGAGAAGAUGAACAAUGAUGACAAAGACAGGAGAUGGCCAGGAGCUGCAGCGGGGCGCCGAGGAGGUGCUGGGUCCUGAACAGAAAGUCCUUGGGCUCUGCUUCCAACCAAGAGCUCCCUACUUACUUGCUCUGCGACCUUGAGCAAGUCACUCAACCCUCUCAGUUCAGUGUCCUCGCUUGUCACACAGGGUCACCACUCCUGCUGGGUUGUCAUGGUACUGCAUGAGACAAUGCAGGGAGACAGAACUGGGUCAAGUCCAGGCCAGAACGCAAGUACUAAUUAGUUGUAUGACCUAAGGCAAGUCCCUUCACUUCUCUGAGCCUUAGUAUCCCUAUCUAUAUAACAGAGGUGGUACCUAUCUCACCCGAACACUGUGAAGAUGCAGUGAUUAAAGUA